rnacentral:rRNA from 1 species
GACGAACGCUGGCGGCGUGCUUAACACAUGCAAGUCGAGCGGUAAGGCCCUUUCGGGGGUACACGAGCGGCGAACGGGUGAGUAACACGUGGGUGACCUGCCCUCAGCUCUGGGAUAAGCCUGGGAAACUGGGUCUAAUACUGGAUAUGACUCCACGGUGCAUGUCGUGGGGUGGAAAGCCUUGUGCGGCUGAGGAUGGGCCCGCGGCCUAUCAGCUUGUUGGUGGGGUGAUGGCCUACCAAGGCGACGACGGGUAGCCGGCCUGAGAGGGCGACC